AACUAAGUUUGUUCUGGGUAUAAGCUUUCAUGUGCAUGCACACUUCUUCAAUCACCCAUCUCCUACUACUCUUCUGAGAAAAACCCCACCCCACCCUCCCACUAUAUAUAAGGGUCAGUGUAUCUGAAGAAGUAUACAUGCACACGAAAGCUUAUACCCAGAACAAACUUAGCUGG